rnacentral:rRNA from 2 species
ACGGGUGAGUAACACGUGAGUAACCUGCCCUUGACUCUGGGAUAAGCGUUGGAAACGACGUCUAAUACCGGAUACGAGCUUCCACCGCAUGGUGAGUUGCUGGAAAGAAUUUUGGUCAAGGAUGGACUCGCGGCCUAUCAGCUUGUUGGUGAGGUAACGGCUCACCAAGGCGACGACGGGUAGCCGGCCUGAGAGGGUGACCGGCCACACUGGGACUGAGACACGGCCCAGACUCCUACGGGAGGCAGCAGUGGGGAAUAUUGCACAAUGGGCGAAAGCCUGAUGCAGCAACGCCGCGUGAGGGACGACGGCCUUCGGGUUGUAAACCUCUUUUAGCAGGGAAGAAGCGAAAGUGACGGUACCUGCAGAAAAAGCACCGGCUAACUACGUGCCAGCAGCCGCGGUAAUACGUAGGGUGCAAGCGUUGUCCGGAAUUAUUGGGCGUAAAGAGCUCGUAGGCGGUUUGUCGCGUCUGCUGUGAAAUCCCGAGGCUCAACCUCGGGUCUGCAGUGGGUACGGGCAGACUAGAGUGCGGUAGGGGAGAUUGGAAUUCCUGGUGUAGCGGUGGAAUGCGCAGA